rnacentral:rRNA from 1 species
AGAGUUUGAUCAUGGCUCAGAAUGAACGCUGGCGGCGUGCCUAACACAUGCAAGUCGAACGAGAAAGCUCCUUCGGGAGCAAGUACAGUGGCGAACGGUUGAGUAACACGUGAGAAUCUGCCCUUCAGUGAAGAAUACCCUCGAGAAAUCGAGGUUAAUGCUGCAUAAUUCCCUUCGGGGAUAAAGGUGGCCUCUUUGCUGCCGCUGAAGGAUGAGCUUGCGGACUAUCAGUUAGUUGGUAGGGUAAUGGCCUACCAAGACUAUGACGGUUAGCCGGCCUGAGAGGGUGAUCGGCCAGACUGGAACUUAGACACGGUCCAGACUCCUACGGGAGGCAGCAGUGGGGAAUCUUGCGCAAUGGGCGAAAGCCUGACGCAGCGACGCCGCGUGGAGGAUGAAGGCCUUCGGGUUGUAAACUCCUGUUAAGUGGGAAGAAAUCUUUAUCUCUAAUAUAGAUAGAGGAUGACGGUACCACUAGAGAAAGCACUGGCUAACCUCGUGCCAGCAGCCGCGGUAAUACGAGGGGUGCAAGCGUUAUUCGAAAUUAUUGGGCGUAAAGGGUGCGUAGGUGGUUCAUUAAGUCAAUUGUUAAAUCUCCCGGCUUAACUGGGAACAAGCAGUCGAAACUGAUGAACUAGAGGAUAGAAGAGAGAAGUGGAAUUCUCGGAGUAGCGGUAAAAUGCGUAGAUCUCGAGAGGAACACCGAUGGCGAAGGCAGCUUCUUAGGCUAUACCUGACACUGAGGCACGAAAGCGUGGGGAGCAAACAGGAUUAGAUACCCUAGUAGUCC